UACGGGGGGGGCAAGCGUUGUUCGGAAUUACUGGGCGUAAAGGGCUCGUAGGCGGCCAACUAAGUCGGACGUGAAAUCCCUCAGCUUAACUGGGGAACUGCGUCCGAUACUGGAUGGCUUGGAUUCGGGAGAGGGAUGCGGAAUUCCAGGUGUAGCGGUGAAAUGCGUAGAUAUCUGGAGGAACACCGGUGGCGAAGGCGGCAUCCUGGACCGGUAUUGACGCUGAGGCGCGAAAGCCAGGGGAGCAAACGGG
rnacentral:rRNA from 1 species